rnacentral:rRNA from 1 species
UUCGUAGGCGGUGUGGCAAGUCGGGAGUGAAAUCUAUGGGCUUAACUCAUAGGCUGCUUCCGAAACUGCUGUGCUUGAGUGUGGGAGAGGCGCGUGGAAUUGCAGGUGUAGCGGUGAAAUGCGUAGAUAUCUGCAGGAACACCCGUGGCGAAAGCGGCGCGCUGGACCACAACUGACGCUGAGGAACGAAGGCUAGGGGAGCAAACAGGAUUAGAUACCCUGGUAGUCCUAGCCCUAAACGAUCAGGACUUGGGGUGCCACCCGUUCGGGUGUCGUCCCGGAGCUAACGCGUUAAGUCCUGCACCUGGGGAGUACGGUCGCAAGACUGAA